AGGGUGUGGCUGCAUCAUAAAUUCACACAGAGCGGAGCAUUCCCUCAGAGGUAGACUUGUCGAGGCAUCAGUGUCGAUCCUGUUAAACCUGAGAGCUUCACGAUGAGUGACCCAAAACCAGACGCAAAGCCAGAGGCAGGGAAGCCAGGAGGAAAGGGAGAGGGAUGCCCCGGAGAAAAGGGGAAAGGCAAAGGCAAUGACGGCCAUGGACACGGACAUGGACAUGGACAUGGUCAAGGCCAAGGCCAGGGUCACGCACAUGGCAAAGACCACGGAGAACACGGCAAAGCAAAAGGAGGAAAGUAACGCUGCUGAACGCCUCUGAAGUCCUGAUGGGAGCUACUUGUUUUUUCACACUUGAACAUAUGUAAUGGAAAAUUAAACAGAAUUAAAGUAAUGAAAUCAAAAAAUAUAAUUACUCAAUCACUAUGUAUUUGUCUUCAUUUUGUAGAAAAUAUCUCUAAAGAAUGGCUUUGGGCUUGAAGAAUGCCUUCAAUGCAUUCGAAUGCACAAAACUAAGGUUAGAACGUCAACAUUGUGCAGCAGAAUGGGUGUGGGCAGAACAUGGUGGGUGUGUCAAGGUGAAGCCUGUACAUAAUGGAGCUGUAUGUAAUGGAGCUUUACCGAUUUUAAUGAUGUAGAGGUUCAAUAAACGGGCUAAUCAACAA